rnacentral:lncRNA from 1 species
AGGGAGGCAGAGGUUGCAGUGAGCCAAGAUCGCACCACUGCACUCCAGCCAGGGGACAAAGCAAGACUCCGUCUCAAAAAAAUAAAAAAAAAAGAGAUUUUACAUUGGCUGGGCAUGGUGGCUCACGCCUGUAAUCCCAACACUUUGGGAGGCUGAGGAGGGUAGAUCAUCUGAAGUCAGGAGUUCGAGACCAUCCUAGCCAACAUGGUAAAACCCCAUCUCUACUUAAAAUACAAAAAUUAGCUGGCCAGUAGUGGAGUGCACCUGUAAUCCCAGCUACUUGGGAGGCUGAGGUGGGAGAAUUGCUUGAACCCAGGAGGCAGAGGUUGCAGUGAGCUGAGAUCACCCCAUUGCAGCCUGGGCAACAGAGCAAGACUCCGUCUCAAAAAAAAAAAAAAAAAAAGAGAUUUUGUAUUUUUGUAUUGCCAGAGUGAAAAGGGGGCUGGCCAGCUACUCAGGGCAUGUAGUACCAGGUCAGAGUUAGCGCUCACUCCCACAGAAAUGUGUACUAAAUUCCUCCAGGACACUGGCCCACAUCCCCCACAUCUGUCCCUCAAUGUGGCCAAUCCCAUGCCCACAAAUCAGAAAAAGCACUGACGAGGUCACGGAAGCCUCACCGGGUGGGAAGGACGGGCGCACUCGGAGCCUCCGUGCCGUGGAUACUCAAGGUGUGGCCCAGACUCAACCGCCCACCAUAGUGACAACAGCCAGAGCUCACUGUAGAGUGGCCCUGGAGACCACACCCACCUCCUGCUAAGUGAUGGCAGACAGCAAGAGGGGUCUGUUGUCUCUUUGAAUGCCACUGCCGGGGUACCAUGGGACUAUCUCCAGUCCUGAAGAGGCUCCUCUCAGUCACACGGCAGCUCUGGACAAGACUUGUGCAAAGAAAGAUGAUCUCGCUAUGCUGCCUAGGCUGGCCUUGAACUCCUGGGCUCAAGCAAUCCUGCUACACUAUGAGGAGUUGCAAAUACAGGGGGCGUGUAAUCACUCUGUGACUGGUGGCUGCAGGCUCUCCUAAUGGAUAUUUCCUAUUUACAGGGCUACCAACUGCCAAGCAUCCAAGCAGUCCCUAGGCAGCAAUCCAGCAGCUGACAGGGUUACCGGCGUCAACUGCCACAGAUGCUAGGCUGGUUUGCCAUAUUUACAUGGAUUUGAUCAGCAAUGAGCACAAAAGAUAGAGAUUGUUUCUUUCUUUCUUUUUUUUGAGGUGGAGUUUUACUCUUGUUGCCCACGCUGGAGCGCAAUGGUGAGAUCUUGGCUCACUGCAACCUCCACCUCCCAGGUACAAGUGAUUCUCCUGUCUCAGCUUCACAAGUAGCUCGGAUUACAGGCAUGCAGGACCAUGUCCAGCUAAUUUUUUUGUAUUUCGUAGAGACGGGGUUUCACCAUAUUAGUCAGGCUGGUGGCAAACUCCUGACCUCAAGUGAUCCACCUGCGUCGGCCUCCCAAAGUGCUAGGAUUACAGGUGUGUGCCACUGUGCCCAGCCUAGAUUGUUUAUUUCUUACUCAAACAGCUACAGCAUGAUCAGCAGCCUGUGUCCCUAGACACACAAGAUGACAGCAAACCAUAGGGGCCAGAUGACAGAAAGCACAGAUGGUGGCCACGGUGCUGCUGAGGCGCCAGCUCCACACUGCAGCCAGGCAGUGGUGUGUCCGCAGCUGUACCCCAAGGAGGGGCAAAGGGAGCAUCCCAGACGCAGCCAACCAGGGGCCCAGGGGCGCUGCUGUCACUGUCGUUUCUUACAAGGUUGCUUGUCUCCCUUAGUUUCAGGAGGAACCUCCAAGCAUUCUGCCAAACUCAGUUCACACGGUGAUGGACCUUGCCACACAGCUAUGUGAAGAUGUCCAAGGUCCUCAGGGCCCAGAACAGAGCUGUUCCCUACUCCACUGACCUCCCUGUUUCUAAAACCAGUGGGCUUUUUUUUUCCUUUGAGACAAGGUCUCUCUCUGUUACCCAGGCUGGAGUGCAGUAGCACAAUCUCAGCUCACUGCAACCUUCACCUCCCCGGGCUCAAGCAAUCCUCCCACCUCAGCCUUAUGAGUAGUUGGG